rnacentral:rRNA from 1 species
ACUGCAAGUCGAACGGUUGUCUCUGGAUUCGUCUAGGGAUGACAGUGGCGAACGGGUGAGUAACACGUAGGUGACCUACCCCAGAGAGGGGAAUAACUGCUGGAAACGGUGGCUAAUACCCCGUAGGCUCGGCGGUUCGGUCCGUUGAGUAAAGCUCUGAAAGGGGCGCUUUGGGAGGGGCCUGCGGCCCAUCAGGUAGUUGGUAGGGUAAUGGCCUACCAAGCCGAUGACGGGUAGGGGGCGUGAGAGCGUGAUCCCCCACACUGGCACUGACACACGGGCCAGACUCCUACGGGAGGCAGCAGUGAGGAAUAUUGCCCAAUGGACGAAAGUCUGAGGCAGCAACGCCGCGUGGGCGAUGAAGGUCUUCGGAUCGUAAAGCCCUUUUCUGGGGGACGAGAAAGGACG